CCAGCGAAAUGCGAUACGUAGUGUGAAUUGCAGAAUUCCGUGAACCAUCGAAUCUUUGAACGCAAAUUGCGCUCGAGGCCUCGGCCAAGAGCAUGUCUGCCUCAGCGUCGGCU
rnacentral:rRNA from 1 species